GCGGAGAUGCCGGAGUGGUCAAACGGGCGAGGUUUAGGUCCUCGUAGCUUAGUGCUUACCAAGGUUCGAAUCCUUGUCUCCGCA
rnacentral:tRNA from 1 species